CACAUGCCAAUCGAUAUUUUACAACAGUCAAUCCAUUUGGAAAUUUCCUCACAAGCUCUUUCUUCAUCCCUGAAGUGCGCAGCAGCCAUAGCUCGAUUCCAGCAAGCAAGCAAAUUCAGAAUCAGGCAGCACCCAUUUCACAUCCUAAGUCCUAAAGGCUUUGAGCAACAGGAGGACUAGCACUGCUAUUCCGAUUCAGAGAUAAGGUUAAACGACAGGCUUUGCCUAUACAGGUUAAUGGCUGGUGAUGACGGGGCAGAGCUGAGGCUAGAGUUCAACUCCUUAUUUUGAUUUCCGCUGCAGAACUAGCCAGUAUCUGUCUUUUGUUUCUUAACUUAAGACCUAUCAUGUUGUGAUUCUAAACAAUAUCUUUUGUUGAGCCUAAACUAUUGACUCUCAAAGUAUUUCAAUCAGUGAAUGUUGGUUAUCUGAAGCAUGACACUAAACUUGUGAUCC